UCGAGUUUGCGCGGUUGCUGCUGGUUCUUACAAGUGCACGCCGCGUCUUUCUUAAUCCACCCCCACCGUGCACUUCGGCGCGUCCUCGGACGCGGUCCAUUUACACCAUACCUUUUUGUAAUCGAGCGAACGUCUUGUAAUAAAUAACGUA
rnacentral:misc_RNA from 1 species